rnacentral:rRNA from 1 species
CCUACGGGAUGCACCAGUGGGGAAUAUUGGACAAUGGGCGAAAGCCUGAUCCAGCAAUGCCGCGUGUGUGAAGAAGGUCUUCGGAUUGUAAAGCACUUUCGACGGGGGUGAUGAUGACGGUACCCGUAGAAGAAGCCCCGGCUAACUUCGUGCCAGCAGCCACGGUAAUACGAAGGGGGCUAGCGUUGCUCGGAAUGACUGGGCGUAAAGAGCGCGUAGGCGGUUUAUGCAGUCAGAUGUGAAAUCCCCGGGCUUAACCUGGGAACUGCAUUUGAGACGCAUAGACUAGAGGUCGAGAGAGGGUUGUGGAUUUCCCAGCGUAGAGGUGAAAUUCGUAGAUAUUGGGAAGAGCACCGGUGGCGAAGGCGGCAACCUGGCUCGAUACUGACGCUGAGGCGCGAAAGCGUGGGGAGCAAACAGGAUUAGAUACCCGUGUAGUC